UGGGGAAUCUUGCACAAUGGAGGAAACUCUGAUGCAGCGACGCCGCGUGAGCGAAGAAGCCUUUCGGAGUGUAAAGCUCUUACGCCAGGGACGAUAAUGACGGUACCUGGAGAAGCAGCUGCGGCUAACUACGUGCCAGCAGCCGCGGUAAUACGUAGGCAGCAAGCGUUGUUCGGAAUUACUGGGCGUAAAGGGUGCGUAGGCGGCGCUCUAAGUUUGGUGUGAAAUCUCCCGGCUUAACUGGGAGGGUGCACUGAAAACUGGGGCGCUCGAGUAUGGGAGAGGAAAGCGGAAUUCCUGGUGUAGCGGUGAAAUGCGUAGAGAUCAGGAGGAACACCUGCGGUGCAGACGGCUUUCUGGACCAUCACUGACGCUGAGGCACGAAAGCGUGGGUAGCAAACA
rnacentral:rRNA from 1 species